rnacentral:rRNA from 1 species
CGCUGGCGGCGUGCCUAAUACAUGCAAGUCGAACGGUCUUUCUAUGGAAGCUUGCUUCCGACUGAGAAGAUAGUGGCGAACGGGUGAGUAACACGUGGGUAACCUGCCCAUAAGAGGGGGAUAACAUCCGGAAACGGGUGCUAAUACCACAUAGUUUUCUUGAUUGCAUGAUUGAGAAGGAAGACGGCCUUUGUGCUGUCGCUUAUGGAUGGACCCGCGGCGUAUUAGUUAGUUGGUGAGGUAACGGCUCACCAAGACGAUGAUACGUAGCCGACCCGAGAGGGUGAUCGGCCACAUUGGGACUGAGACACGGCCCAAACUCCUACGGGAGGCAGCAGUAGGGAAUCUUCCGCAAUGGACGAAAGUCUGACGGAGCAACGCCGCGUGAGUGAAGAAGGUUUUCGGAAUCGUAAAACUCUGUUGUCAGAGAAGAACAAGUUGGAGAGUAACUGCUCCAGCCUUGACGGUAUCUGACCAGAAAGCCACGGCUAACUACGUGCCAGCAGCAGC